rnacentral:rRNA from 1 species
UUAUUUGAGGAUUUGAUCCUGGUCCAGGAUGAACGCUGGCGGCGUGGAUAAGGCAUGCAAGUCGAACGGUACAGUUGUGAUUACAUCAAGACUGUGCAGUGGCGAACGAGUUAGUAACACCUUGGUACGUACCUCGAAGUCGGGCAUAAUUCCGCGAAAGCGGAACUAAUUCCCGAUAGUCCCGCAAGGGUAAAGUCGCAAGACGCUUCGAGAUCGGCCUAGGCCCUAUCAGCUUGUUGGUGAGGUAAUGGCUCACCAAGGCUACGACGGGUAGGGGAGCUGAGAGGCUGUUCCCCAACGAGGAAACUGAGACACGGUUCCUACACCUACGGGUGGCAGCAGUCGAGAAUAUUCGACAAUGGACGAAAGUCUGAUCGAGCGACGCCGCGUGCAGGAUGAAGGCCUUAGGGUCGUAAACUGCUUUUCUAUAGGAGGAAGACGUAAGGUUUACUUUGCGUUUGACGGUACUGUAGGAAUAAGUAGCGGCAAACUUCGUGCCAGCAGCAGCGGUAAUACGAAGGCUACAAGCGUUAUCCGGAUUUAUUGGGCGUAAAGGGUGCGUAGGGGGCGCAGUAAGUUUUUGGUCAAAUCUCGGGGCUUAACCCCGAGCUCGCCAAGAAAACUACCGCGCUUGAGGGCGUUAGAGGCAAGCGGAACGAACGGUGUAGGGGUGAAAUCCGUUGAUAUCGUUCGGAACACCAAAGGCGAAGGCAGCUUGCUGGGACGUUCCUGACCCUGAGGCACGAAAGCGUGGGGAGCAAAAAGGAUUAGAUACCCUUGUAGUCCACGCCCUAAACGAUGUCGACUAGCCGUUUCGAGUAUCGACCCUCGGAGUGGCGUAGCUAACGCGUUAAGUCGACCGCCUGGGAAGUACGAGCGCAAGCUUAAAACUCAAAGGAAUAGACGGGGACUCGCACAAGCGGUGGAGCAUGUGGUUUAAUUCGAUGGUAAACGAGAAACCUCACCAGGGCUUGAAAUGUUUACGAAAACAGUUUGAAAAGAUUGUUGUCCGCAAGGACGUAAGCACAGGUGCUGCAUGGUUGCCGUCAGCAUGUGCCGUGAGGCGCUCCCUUCAAUGGGGUAACAUGCGCAACCCCUGCUUUGAGUUAUAUAUGUCUCAAGGAACUGCCGUCGUAUAGACGGAGGAAGGCGGGGACGACGUCAAAUCAGCAUGGCCCUCUGAUGCCCUGGGCUACACACAUGCUACAAUGGUCUGUUACAGCGGGUUGCCAAACCGUAAGGUGGAGCUAAUCCCUAGAAAACGGACCUCAGUUCAGAUUGCGGGCUGCAACUCGCCCGCAUGAAGUCGGAAUCGCUAGUAAUCGCGGAUCAGAAUGCCGCGGUGAAUACGUUCUCGAGUCCUGUACUCACCGCCCGUCAAGUCAAGGGAGCUGGGAUUACCUGAAGCUUCGUUUCACGGGGUCAGGGUGAACUCGGUGACAUGGACUAAGUCGUAACAAGGCACGGGUAGCGGAAGCUGUUCGUGGAUCAUGUAUAUU